rnacentral:rRNA from 1 species
UACGUAGGGGGCAAGCGUUGUCCGGAGUUACUGGGCGUAAAGCGCACGCAGGCGGUCUGUUAAGUUUGGAGUGACAGUUGGUGGCUUAACUGCCAAAGUGCUUCGAAAACUGAUCGACUUGAGGGCUUCAGAGGGACACGGAAUUCCGGGUGGAGUGGUGAAAUGCGUAGAGAUCGGCAGGAACGCCCAGGGGGAAACCAGCCGACUGGGCAAGUGCUGACGCUGAGGUGCGAGAGCGUGGGGAGCGAACCGG